CCUACGGGAGGCAGCAGUGGGGAAUAUUGGGCAAUGGGCGCAAGCCUGACCCAGCAACGCCGCGUGAAGGAAGAAGGCUUUCGGGUUGUAAACUUCUUUUGUCAGGGACGAAGCAAGUGACGGUACCUGACGAAUAAGCCACGGCUAACUACGUGCCAGCAGCCGCGGUAAUACGUAGGUGGCAAGCGUUAUCCGGAUUUAUUGGGUGUAAAGGGCGUGUAGGCGGGGACGCAAGUCAGAUGUGAAAACCACGGGCUCAACCUGUGGCCUGCAUUUGAAACUGUGUUUCUUGAGUACUGGAGAGGCAGACGGAAUUCCUAGUGUAGCGGUGAAAUGCGUAGAUAUCUGGAGGAACAUCAGUGGCGAAGGCGACUAUCUGGCACAUAACUGACGCUGAGGAGCGAAAGCGUGGGUAGCAAACAGGAUUAGAUACCCCAGUAGUC
rnacentral:rRNA from 1 species